UUUGUCAUUGGGUGAUGAUCUACCC
rnacentral:snRNA from 1 species